rnacentral:rRNA from 1 species
CUUUGAGAGAGAGUUCUCGAGGGCGUGAACCGCUGAGAAGCAAACGGAUAGAGUUAACGAAACGGGAUGGUUUUCAGUCUGUCUACGUUGCGGUAUCCAUAGUUGUACGCCUGAAUAAGGGUAGUGCUGUGGAGUGUGCUGCAUGCGUAUGGCCGGUGCAUUUGCCAUCUGUAUGCGCUGAGAGGUUCGCUAUGAUGCGUUGACGCGUGUUGAAGAGGACCACGGUCUGUAUUGAUUGUGGAAACCUUUGAGCGUUUAAGCGUAUUCAUUGUGAACAAAGAAUUGUGCCUAGCUGAUUUGUGCAACAGUUUGCGCGUGGUUUGUGCUGGUGUUUUGGCGGUCGCAUGCGACUUGUAAACAGUUUGGCACAUACUCGUUGUUGAAUACGGUUGCGUUGGGUGUCAUUUUUCGGUGUGAAAGUUGACCACCUAUCCGACCCGUCUUGAAACACGGACCAAGGAGUCUAGCGCAUACGCAAGUCAUUGGGUGGUAAACCUAAAGGCGUAAUGAAAGUGAAUGCUGACUAGAGCGGCUGAUAUGGGAUCUGUGUGGGGGCAUUAAAGACUUACACGAUACACCAUAGCCCCGUCGAUAUUGCUUGCAAUAAGGCGGAGGUAGAGCGUAUACGCUGGGACCCGAAAGAUGGUGAACUAUGCCUGAGCAGGAUGAAGCCAGAGGAAACUCUGGUGGAGGUCCGAAGCGGUUCUGACGAGCAAAUCGAU